rnacentral:rRNA from 1 species
AAAACAUGUCUAUUCGUAAAAUUAAUAGUCAUGCCUGCACCCUGCCAGUUAAAGAGCUGCAGUAUUUUAACUGUACUAAGGUAGCAUAAUACAUUGCUUUCUAAUUAAAAGCUUGAAUGAAAGGUUCGAUGAAGGAAAACUUUCCUUGUACCUAAACAAAAAUUAGCUCUCAGUCAAAACCCUGAAAUGCCUCUUUAAGACGAUAAGACCCUAUAAAAUUUUAUUCAGUGGGGGUGGCCAGAUAGCAGCCAUAGCGAAUUUUGUUGGGGCGACAGGAAUAUAAUAUUUAACUGUUUUUAUCAAAACGUGCGUACACGAUUUUAGUGACCCUUAUUUAGAUUUAAAAAACAAAUUACUUUAGGGAUAACAGCGUAAUCUUUUUUAGAGUUCUUAUCAAAAAAAAGGUUUGCGACCUCGAUGUUGAAUUAAGAAAGCCGUGUAGAGCAGAAACUUCACAGGUAAAUCUGUUCGAUUUGUAAUUUCUUACAUGAUCUG